AACGAACGCUGGCGGCGCGCUUAACACAUGCAAGUCGAACGAGAAGGCGUAGCAAUACGCUUGUAGAGUGGCGAACGGGUGAGGAAUACAUGGGUAACCUACCCUCGAGAGGGGAAUAACCAGCCGAAAGGUUGGCUAAUGCCGCGUACGCUUCCCAGUCUGCGGAUUGGGAAGGAAAGCUCUGCCGUGGGCAGGGCGCUCAAGGAUGGGCUCAUGUCCUAUCAGCUUGUUGGUGAGGUAACGGCUCACCAAGGCUUCGACGGGUAGCUGGUCUGAGAGGACGAUCAGCCACACUGGCACUGCGACACGGGCCAGACUCCUACGGGAGGCAGCAGUGAGGAAUAUUGCGCAAUGGGCGAAAGCCUGACGCAGCGACGCCGCGUGGGGGAUGAAGGUCUUCGGAUUGUAAACCCCUUUCGGGAGGGAAGAUGGGACGAGCAAUCGUCCGGACGGUACCUCCAGAAGCAGCCACGGCUAACUUCGUGCCAGCCGCCGCCGAAGAC
rnacentral:rRNA from 1 species